GUCUAUAUUCACCAGUGCCAUCUAACAAUGCAUUCUAGAAAUGCAAAACUGAUGAAAAAAUAAUGGCGCUGUCCAUAUUAGACGUGUAAGGUUAAGUUACCUUAAUUUUAUAAUCAAUCAUUGUUUAAAAAAUUGAUAGAUACGUUUGAUCCUAUAGUUUUAUAUAAUGAUAUACUUUCCUUAUGUAUAAUACUUAUGUUAAGUUAAUACCAAUAUUCAAAUGAUAUUCAAGAAACUCAUUUGCGUAACCAUAUUCUCAAUAUAUAUAGAUAUAUCAUAAAAUAUUUUACUAUAAUGUCUUUAUUACGAAUUAUUCGAUAUAACGAAUUAUCCGUUAUUUUUCCGUUAACUGCAAGAGGAUUCCUUUGGAGUAAUUCGUCAAAAAGAAAGAGCAAUGUCGUCAUACAAUUCAAGAGAGGCUUCAACGCCAUAGUUAGUUCAUCUAUUAAACAAGAGUACAAGAAACAAAAGAUUCUAUCAAACAUUUAUAAAGUUGGUUGAAGAACAUUAGCAACGGAUGCAACUAAACAUUAAAAAUAAAUAUGAAACAAAUUUCAAGCAAAUAAACAAAAUAAUGAAGUAACAAGAGGUACUGAUCAGUCGCAUUUUUCAUGGAAAAACUUUUUGGAGUAUUUAUAUCCACAUAUUUGGUAUUUAUUGAUUUCUUUGUCAGUAAGUAUGAAAAUAUUAAUAAAAAGUAAAUUAAGCGUA